UACGUAGGGAGCAAGCGUUGUCCGGAAUCAUUGGGCGUAAAGCGCGCGUAGGUGGCCUCCUAAGUCCGCUGUGAAAGUCAAAGGCUCAACCUUUGAAAGCCGGUGGAUACUGUGAGGCUAGAGUACGGAAGAGGCGAGUGGAAUUCCUGGUGUAGCGGUGGAAUGCGCAGAUAUCAGGAGGAACACCAAUAGCGAAGGCGGCUCUCUGGUACGGUAUUGACGCUGAGACGCGAAAGCGUGGGGAGCGAACAGG
rnacentral:rRNA from 1 species